AUUGAACGCUGGCGGCAGGCCUAACACAUGCAAGUCGAACGAGUGGCGGACGGGUGAGUAAUGUCUGGGAAACUGCCUGAUGGAAGGGGCUAACUACUGGAAACGGUAGCUAAUACCGCAUACCAUCGGAUGUGCCCAGAUGGGCUGAGCUAGUAGGUGGGGUAAAGGCUCACCUAGGCGACGAUCCCUAGCUGGUCUGAGAGGAUGACCAGCCACACUGGACCUGAGACACGGUCCAGACUCCUACGUGAGGCAGCAGUGGGGAAUAUUGCACAAUGGGCGCAAGCCUGAUGCAGCCAUGCCGCGUGUAUGAAGAAGGCCUUCGGGUUGUAAAGUACUUUCAGCUGGGAGGCGUUACCCGCAGAAGAAGCACCGGCUAACUCCGUGCCAGCAGCCGCGGUAAUUC
rnacentral:rRNA from 1 species